rnacentral:rRNA from 1 species
AACGAACGCUGGCGGCGUGCUUAACACAUGCAAGUCGAACGCGAAAGGGGCUUCGGUCCCGAGUAGAGUGGCGCACGGGUGAGUAACGCGUAAGUAAUCUACCCCCGCAUUCGGAAUAACUCGUCGAAAGGUGAGCUAAUACCGGAUACGUUUAUCUUGAUGCGAAUGAUGAUAAAGAAAGGUGGCCUCUUCAUGAAAGCUACUGUGCAGGGAUGAGCUUGCGUACCAUUAGCUAGUUGGUAGGGUAAUGGCCUACCAAGGCGACGAUGGUUGGCGGGUCUGAGAGGAGGACCCGCCACACUGGAACUGGAACACGGACCAGACUCCUACGGGAGGCAGCAGUGAGGAAUAUUGCGCAAUCGGGGCAACCCUGACGCAGCGACGCCGCGUGGAUGAUGAAGGCCCUUGGGUCGUAAAAUCCUGUCAGAUGGAAAGAAAUGUAUGGGUGUUAAUAUCGCCUGUAUUUGACGGUACCAUCAAAGGAAGCACCGGCUAACUCCGUGCCAGCCGCCGCCGUAACAC